AAGGUGGGGAGAUGCCACCAUCAGCAGCCUUGGAGGUGCCACCAAUGCCCUGGAGACGCCACCGCCAAGGUGGGGAGAUGCCACCACCACUGGAAAUGCCACCAAUGCCCUGGAGAUGCCACUACCAGCCCUGGAGAUGUCACCACCAAGGUGAGGAGAUGCCACCACCAAUGGAAAUGCCACCAGUGCCCUGGAGGUACCACUGCCAGCCCUGGGGAUGCCACCACCAAGGUGGGGAGAUGCCACCACCACUGGAAAUGCCACCAGUGCCCUGGCGAUGUCACCACCACUGGAGAUACUACUACCAACCAGACCUGGGGAUGCCACCACCAAGGUGGGGAGAUGCCACCACUAGCAGCUUUGGAGGUGCCACCAAUGCCCUGGAGAUGCCACUACCAGCCCUGGAGAUGUCACCACCACUGGAGAUGUCACCACCAGCAGCCCUGGAGAUGCCAUCAGUCCUGGAGAUGCCACCAGCACUGGAGAUACCACUACCACCCAGCCCUGGAGGUGCCACCAGCCCUGGAGACGUCACCACCAAGGUGGGGAGAUGCCACUAUCAGCCCUGGAGAUGUCACCACCAAGGUGGGGAGAUGCCACUAUCAGCCCUGGAGAUGUCACCACCAGGGCAGGGAGAUGUCACCACCACUGGAGAUGCCACCACCACUGGAGAUACCGCUACCAACCACACCUGGAGAUGCCACCACCAGGGUGGGGAGAUGCCACCAUCAUCCCAGGAGAUGCCACCACCGGUCCUGGAGAUGCCACCAGUGCAGUGAAAUGGCCCCAUCACAAGCCCUGGAGAUGCCACCACCAGCUCACGUCCCCCCCGUGUCAUUGUCCCCUUCCUCCUGGCGCUGCCCGGACCCCCCCUC
rnacentral:lncRNA from 1 species